rnacentral:rRNA from 1 species
UACGGGGGGGGCAAGCGUUGUUCGGAAUUACCGGGCGUAAAGGGCUCGUAGGUGGCCAACUAAGUCAGACGUGAAAUCCCUCGGCUUAACCGGGGAACUGCGUCUGAUACUGGUUGGCUCGAGUUUGGGAGAGGGAUGCGGAAUUCCAGGUGUAGCGGUGAAAUGCGUAGAUAUCGGGAGGAAUACCAGUGGCGAAAGCGACACCCUGGCACUGUGCCUGACGCUCAUGUGCGAAGGCGUGGGGAGCGAACGGG